ACGUGAUCUGAGUUCAGACCGGAGUAAUCCAGGUCGGUUUCUAUCUAUGACAGAGCUUAUUCUAGUACGAAAGGACCGAAAAAGCAUGGCCUAUACCUAAAGCAAGCCAUCAUUAGCAAUUUAUGUCUACAACUCAAUUAACAACUAAUCUACAACCUCCCUUUAGAUAAGAGA
rnacentral:rRNA from 1 species